rnacentral:rRNA from 1 species
AUGGUUUGCAUCAUCCACAUGAUGAUCCAGUCUUGUAGCUAUACAGUAGAGGUGAAGGUUUGUGGCAGUGGAACCAAAAUCACUGGGGAUUCGAUAUUUAGUUGGCAGAUUAUUGAGGGUAGUAGGACAAGUAUGAAGGAUUUGCUGGCUUGUAUUGCCGGAAAUUUUGCUUUAUGCUCAGAGGAUAAUAUAUUUCUUGAGUACUUUGAUUCCAUUAGUGGCAAAAAUAUCUCUGUGUCAAAUGAUGAAGAAUGCAUGAAAAUGUUUGCCUGUCUUGAUCAGAAUAGAAGUGGCCAUUUGAUCAUCAAAUAUUCCGAGAGAAGUGAUAAUGUUGAUGUUCCAUGUACUCCUUCGAACCAAACACCAUCUAUAGCACUGCCUAGUCAACCAAGUAGCGUCAUUGAUGAAGCUAGUGUAUGCCUAACAGAUACAUAUCUUGACAAUCCGCAUGAAGAAUAUGAACAUGUUGGUGUAGAUGAGGAGGACCAGUACUCAAUUGGCAGUGUUGGUUCCGAUAGUGAUGAUGAGGUCAAAGAAAAAGAUAUACCAAAUAAUGAUUAUGUUGAGGAUAUCAGUGAUGAUGAGGAAUGGGUUGCAGAAGAUGCUAGACCGGAUGCUAUUCCAGAAAAUGCUUAUGACAAAGAAAACCCGCCAAUGCAUGUUGGCGCAAAGUACCCCAACAUUGAAGAGUUUAGGUUGGCAAUUGCUACAUAUGCUGUAAAGAAAGAGUUCGAAUUCAAGGUUGAAAAAAGUGAACCUACUCGAUUCAGGGCUUAUUGUCGCCGGGCAAAGAAGACGGAUUGUAAAUGGAGAAUUCAUGUUGGGAGGUUGGAUGACCAAGAAACUAUGGAGGUCAAAGUUCAUGUGCAGGAGCACACUUGUUCUAGCGCAAAGAAGAAAAAGAAGCAGAAAAAUGCUUCAAAGGCAUGGGUGUGUGAGAAAGUCAUGGACUGGGUAAAAGAAGAUCCUAGUGUUCGGCCGAUGGAGUUACGGAGGAGGCUACAUGACAAGUACAAGAUCAACGUCCAAUACAUGAAAGUAUUCCGUGGCAAAGGGCUAGCAAUGGCUAAGUUGUUUGGUAACUGGGAUGAUUCUUUUGACAAGC